rnacentral:rRNA from 1 species
GACGAACGCUGGCGGCGUGCUUAACACAUGCAAGUCGAACGGAAAGGCCCUGCUUUUGUGGGGUGCUCGAGUGGCGAACGGGUGAGUAACACGUGAGUAACCUGCCCUUGACUUUGGGAUAACUUCAGGAAACUGGGGCUAAUACCGGAUAGGAGCUCCUGCUGCAUGGUGGGGGUUGGAAAGUUUCGGCGGUUGGGGAUGGACUCGCGGCUUAUCAGCUUGUUGGUGGGGUAGUGGCUUACCAAGGCUUUGACGGGUAGCCGGCCUGAGAGGGUGACCGGCCACAUGGGGACUGAGAUACGGCCCAGCCUCCUACGGGCGGCAGCAGUGGGGAAUAUUGCACAAUGGGCGGAAGCCUGAUGCAGCAACGCCGCGUGCGGGAUGACGGCCUUCGGGUUGUAAACCGCUUUCGCCUGUGACGAAGCGUGAGUGACGGUAAUGGGUAAAGAAGCACCGGCUAACUACGG